GGCGGCAUGCCUAACACAUGCAAGUUGAGCGAGAACGGAAAGCUUGCUUUCUGGGGACAGCGGCGCACGGGUGAGUAACGCGUGGAUAACGUGCCCUCGGGCUGGGGAUAACCCGCCGAAAGGCGGACUAAUACCGAAUGUGUUCCUUAUGGGUUCGCCUGUUUGGAAGAAAGUGGGGCAACCCACGCCCAAGGAUCGGUCCGCGUUCCAUCAGCUAGUUGGUGGGGUAAUGGCCUACCAAGGCUACGACGGAUAGCUGGUCUGAGAGGAUGAUCAGCCACACUGGGACUGAGACACGGCCCAGACUCCUACGGGAGGCAGCAGUGGGGAAUAUUGGUCAAUGGGCGAAAGCCUGAACCAGCAAUGCCGCGUGAGUGAUGAAGGCCUUCGGGUUGUAUAGCUCUGUCGGAGGGAACGAAUAAGCCGUUUAAUACACGGUGAUGACGGUACCUUCAAAGGAAGCACCGGCUAACUCUGUGCCAGCAGCCGCGGUAAUACAGAGGGUGCAAGCGU
rnacentral:rRNA from 1 species